ACAGGUUUGGUCCUAGCCUUUUUAUUAGUUGUUCGCAAAAUUAUACAUGCAAGAAUCACCAUGCCAGUGAGAAAGCCCUCUAAGCCUACAAAACAGGCCGAAAGGAGCAGGUAUCAAGCACACCUACCGGUAGCUCACAACAUCAGGCCCAGCCACACCCCCACGGGAGACAGCAGUAACCAAUAUUGAGCAAUGAACGAAAGUUUGACUCAGUUAUGCAAUACAAACAAGGGUUGGUCAAUUUCGUGCCAGCCACCGCGGUCAUACGAUUAACCCUAACUAAUAAACCUCGGCGUAAAAGGUGUUUUAGGAAAAAAUAAAAAAUAAGACUAAAUUUCACCUAAGUCGUAAAAAACUCUAGGCGAAACAUGAAACACGAGCUAAAGCCGUCUUAACCUACCUGAACACACGAAAGCUAAGACUCAAACUGGGAUUAGAGACCCCACUAUGCUUAGCCGUAAACAUAAAGAUUUUACAACAAAAAUUUUCGCCCGAGAACUACUAGCAAUAGCUUAAAACUCAAAGGACUUGGCGGUGCUUCACACCCACCUAGAGGAGCCUGUUCUAUAAUCGAUACACCCCGAUCCACCUCACCACCUCUUGCCAAUUCAGCCUAUAUACCGCCAUCUUCAGCAAACCCAAUUAUGGAACAAAAGUAAGCACAAGCACUUCACGUAAAAACGUUAGGUCAAGGUGUAGCCAAUGAAGUGGGAAGAAAUGGGCUACAUUUUCUUAAACAAAGAACAUUUCACGCAAGUUUCUAUGAAAUCUAAAAACCCAAGGAGGAUUUAGUAGUAAAUUAAGAGUAGAGAGCUUAAUUGAACCAGGCCAUGAAGCACGUACACACCGCCCGUCACCCUCUUCAAGUAUCUAAGCCAUGAGCAACACAAUGCAAGAAGAGAUAAGUCGUAACAAGGUAAGCAUACUAGAAAGUGUGCUUGGAAA
rnacentral:ncRNA from 1 species